AAACAGCCCCCUAUGUUUUGAUUCUUAAGCAGUUUUGGACCCCCAAGGCAAAAAAAAAAAAAAUUGACACGUGGCACCUCACUUAGGGUGCCACGUCAGUGUUGACCGAGUCAAUAAUGAACUGGGGGUCCAAAACUGCCAAAGAAUCAAAACAUAGGGGGCUGUUU
rfam:Medicago truncatula strain A17 chromosome 3, whole genome shotgun sequence.